AUUCUGCUGAAAUAAUAAUAAAAAAAAUUAUAUUAUGAAAGUCCUGGCAGUAUAAUUACCAUUACAUAGCCAAAGUCUAGGUCACGGUGUAUAAUAAAACAUACAACUUUAAAACACAAGUUUAACAAGCUACAAUAACAGGUGUUGUCAUUUAAUCUGUUCAGCCAACCACAGAUAAUCUCAAAUUACUUAAUUUGAUUGGUCACUUUAUCCAUGUUUAUCACUGAAGGCCAUGGAAAUUAACAAAGGUGCUUUUUUGAAUGUUAUCACUGAAAUUUGUUAGUGGUUUUAGAGCUCUUUUUCAGUGCACAUUCAUGAUGAUGAAACAGGCAGUUUAACCAUAUUUUCUGAAGCAUUUCAGUAGUACUAAUAGAAUUUGUUGGUAAAGGAAUUUUUUUUUCUUUAAGUGAAAACUCAUGAAGUAAGAAGGCGUUAAUUUUGUUUAAAGCAUUAUUGCGGCAGUCGGAGAAACAGGAAAUUACCUGACUUUCAAAGCAUGUGAAGCAAGGGUGAAAAUCCGAAGUCAUCAUGAUUCAAUAUUUCAAACCUAGUUUGGUCACUCUGCAGAAUUCACAAUGGAAUCUUUCAGCAAGAUUUCCAAUUUGCUUUGCUACCAUUGGACAAGAAAAAGCACGGAUAGAGACAGCUCAUACAGAAAAUUGCUGGUUUAUACACAACUGUAACGCGACAGAUUUUUGAACAGGGUUUUGUAUAAUAAACUCCAGUUGAGGCUUUAAUAUAAAUUACAGAAAAAAAAACUGAUUUGAAGACUGUAAAGCAUUUAGGUACCGCUGGAAUUUGAAGUAUGUGCAUCAGUAAGGCUUAAGACGAACAAUAUUAUGUGAAGGGAUAUGCAAGUCAUCGAGACCCUAGGGAUUAAUAUCCCUACCCCAUGAUGCAUAGUUGAUGAUUUAAUUAAAGAAAUCAUGGUUUGUAUAUCUUGAACUCAGUGUAUUUUGUAUGUCUGCAGGAGCUGUUUAAGCCAUUAUUAUGUUUCCAUCCAGUAGCCACUUUAGCUCGAAAUCAAAUGCAUCAAUCAUUCAAUACUGCUUGUGCAUGCAAACAAAAUUGUGGGAAUGGAACCAACGGAUGUCAACAACCAGCUAACCAAUCAAUAACAAUUUACUAAGCAACCAUUGCUUGCAUUAACAUUAACAAACAGUAUAUACUGUAUUUACAAAAAUAAGAAAUUUAUAUGAAUCUGUUAUAAAUCAUUAUCUAUAGCUUUCUUAUAAGAAUCUUAUGAGACAACUAAAGCAUUCACAGAGGAUUCCUGCAAGACACCUAUACGAUUCCUUUAGGAAAUCUAUAGGAUAAUAAAGAUAAUACUUAUAGGAUUCCUAUAUAAUUCUUAUAAGACACCCAUACGAAUCCUAUGGAAACCAUAUAGGAUUCUUAUGCGAUAUCUAUAGGGACCCUGUAUUAUUCAUAUAAGACUUCUAUAAGAUUCUUUUAGGAAAUCUAUAGGAUUUCUUUAAGAUAUCUUUAGGAUUACUAAAAUAGUUCUAUAGGAUUCUUAUAAGACGCCUAUAUGAUUCCAAAAAGAAAUCUAAAAUUCCAAUAAAAUAUCUAUAAGAUUCCUUAAAAUAUCUACAGGAUUCCUAUAUAAUUUAUAUAAGACUCCUAUAAGAUUUCUAUAAGGUAUCUAUAACCUUCCUAUAUCAUUCAUAUAAGACUCCUAUAAGAUUCCAAUAAGAUAUCUAUAAGAUUCCUAUAGAUUUCAUAUAAGAAACCCAUAAGAUUCCUAUAAGGUUCCUUUAGAAAAUCUAUAAGAUUCCUUUAGGCAUUCUAUAGGAUUCCUAAAGGAUAACAAUAAGAUUCCUAUUUGUUCCAUUAAAAAAUCUUGCAGUUUUCCUAUAAGAUUUCAUUAAGAAUCUUAUAGGAAACAUAUUAAAAUUCCUAUAGGAUACUUAUACGACUCCUGUAUAAUUCUCAAAGGAUAUCUAUUGAAAUAAUCCUAUAGGAUCCUAUACAUGUGACGAAAAAUCUAUAAGAUUCCUAUAGGAUUUUCUCUUAUAGGAUCGUAUAGGACAUUUUUGUAAGGGUACUGAUCGAAUCAUCCGUGACUUCUGUCAACAAGCACAUGUUAGGGAAGCAAUUUUUUUUCUGUAGGUUGGUUUAGUUUAGCAUGUUGCAAGGUCUAAAGGUAGUAAGACAAUUACUACGCAAAUCACGUGCAAAAAGAAAUUAAUGUUGGUGGCGAUCUUCACAUCUUGUUCCCGGUGCUCAAGAAAAAAAAAAAACCCGAUCGUUUUUCGUCGAUUAUAGGCCUUUUUAAGUCGAUUUUAAAAUAAAAUUUGUAUUAGUUUUUGAAAUAGAUUCAUGAGGCCUAUGUACUAACUUCCUAGACUAGUCUAGGCUAGCUAGUGGCCUACUGCUAGUAGACAAGACAUAUUUAAUUUGUCUUUUGAUGCUUUUGCUAUCGGUUUCAUUAAGAAGUAAUACUAGGCCAAGGCUAGUCCUUUUUCAUGCAGGAGCUCGAACCGACCAGCCUCCAUAUUUGCUUAUCGUCGACUUGCUGAUCUGUGGCGCGGUAAGGGUCAAUCUCUUUCGUCGUAGAGAUCGCUGUCCCCUUUGCACAUCACGCGACAGGGCAAAAUAAGUAUUAUUUUUCAGGAGAAUAGUACUUUCUACUGCCCGCUUCUUAACCAAUCAGAUGCCUAGCAUC